CCUACGGGUGGCUGCAGUAGGGAAUCUUUCACAAUGGGCGAAAGCCUGAUGGAGCAACGCCGCGUGCAGGAUGAAGGCCCUCGGGUUGUAAACUGCUUUUAUAAGCGAGAAAUAUGAUGGUAACUUAUGAAUAAGGAUCGGCUAACUACGUGCCAGCAGCCGCGGUCAUACGUAGGAUCCGAGCAUUAUCCGGAGUGACUGGGUGUAAAGAGUUUCGUAGGUGGCAUAAUAAGUAGCUAGUGAAAUCUGGUGGGUCAACCAUUCAGACUAUUAGCUAAACUGUUAAGCUCGAGAGCGUUAGAGGUAACCGGAAUGUCUAGUGUAGGAGUGAAAUGCGUAGAUAUUAGAAGGAACACCAAUAGCGUAGGCAGGUUGCUGGGACGGUUCUGACGCUAAGGCACGAAAGUGUAGGGAGCAAACAGGAUUAGAUACCCUGGUAGUC
rnacentral:rRNA from 1 species